rnacentral:rRNA from 1 species
GACGAACGCUGGCGGCGUGCUUAACACAUGCAAGUCGAACGGAAAGGCCCUGCUUGCAGGGUACUCGAGUGGCGAACGGGUGAGUAACACGUGGGUGAUCUGCCCUGCACUUCGGGAUAAGCCUGGGAAACUGGGUCUAAUACCGGAUAGGAGCCAUUUUUAGUGUGAUGGUUGGAAAGUUUUUUCGGUGUAGGAUGAGCUCGCGGCCUAUCAGCUUGUUGGUGGGGUAAUGGCCUACCAAGGCGGCGACGGGUAGCCGGCCUGAGAGGGUGGACGGCCACAUUGGGACUGAGAUACGGCCCAGACUCCUACGGGAGGCAGCAGUGGGGAAUAUUGCACAAUGGGCGCAAGCCUGAUGCAGCGACGCCGCGUGGGGAUGACGGCCUUCGGGUUGUAAACUCCGUUCGCUAGGGACGAAGCUUUUUGUGACGGUACCUAGAUAAGAAGCACCGGCUAACUACGUG